AUCAGCCCAUGCAGUUUCAGUGUGCAAUUCCUCUAACAUAACUUCAGAUGCUUACCUGUUAGCUACUUACCCAGACAUCCCUCAGCACUCAACAGAAACAGCAAGGCCUUCAGACACAGACCUGACAGAGGAGAGUCCAGCAGGUUGUCCAAGGGGGUAUCCUCCACCCCAUAUCCUGGGAAUUUGAGUCCAAAGGUCAGCCUAACCACCCAUCCACACUCCUGCCAUGCAGGAGCGUGCACAUGUGGCAGGAGGACAGCAGGCACCUCUAGUAAUGCUGUUUUGGAUGAUUCAUGCUGUUCUUCGGGCAAAUCUGCAGAUGAAGUGUGGUGUGACACAUCCUUCGGUAAUCAUGACAAUGAAGAACACUUUCAAGAUGCUGAUAUAUAACAUAGCCGGAAGAAUAUCUUUCUGAAUUAAGAAACAGCUGCUUCUGUGGUUUUACAGGUAUGCCUGGUUAUACUAAUGAUCCUACAGAGAAGAGGGCAGUAACAUGAACUAAUGUGACAGACAGUCAAACACCUGACAAGUAUCAUAUUUGGACUGUAUCUCUACAGAAUUAUUUGAGGUCAGAAGAAUGGAUUUCAUUCACUGUUGGCUUCACAAAGUCAUCCGUAGGUUCAAAAAUUUGGUCAUAUUCCAGAAGACUGGAAAAGGGAUAACAUACAACAUUUUCAAAAUGGAAGAUCAAACCCCCUUCUCGAUAAAAAACAGCAUUUUUAUUUCUCCCAGUUUUACAGUAAUGCUACUGGACAGGCAGAGUAUGUGUAUGUCUAAAAAUGAAAGACAGCUACUUUAAUAUCUGUAGAGGCUGACGCAAUCUCUGUAUUCUGUAUGCUUUGUGAUAUUUUACAGGAA